rnacentral:lncRNA from 1 species
ACACCAAACUCAACCUGUGCAUGCACUAUACAUAGCAUAAACAUAAACUUGACCCCUCUGUGGGAUCUCAUCAAUGCCCCAAUGGGCGAUAUAUCAUAAGUUGAGUUGGUUAAACAUAAACAUCAAUAGACAUUAAAAUCAUGUAUCAACAAGGGAUUACAACAGACUAUGGUCAAGCACACUUCUAAACCUCAAUAUCAUCAUUACAUAACAUAGCUAAUCAUAACAUUACAUCAUUACAAAUUUUGUC